UUCGUAGGGUGCGAGCGUUGUCCGGAAUUAUUGGGCGUAAAGGGCUCGUAGGCGGUCUGUUGCGUCGGGAGUGAAAACUCAGGGCUUAACCCUGAGCCUGCUUCCGAUACGGGGCAGACUAGAGGUAUGCAGGGGAGAACGGAAUUCCUGGUGUAGCGGUGAAAUGCGCAGAUAUCAGGAGGAACACCGGUGGCGAAGGCGGUCUCUGGGCAUUACCUGACGCUGAGGAGCGAAAGUGUGGGGAGCGAACAGG
rnacentral:rRNA from 1 species